rnacentral:lncRNA from 1 species
UACCGAUAUUUCCGAUAUCAUCGAUAUUUUAUACCUUGCCUACAGUUGAACCUAAGGGAGUAAAUCUGUUGGUGACGGCUAAGGCCGAUGAUGAAGAAUCGGGAAUAGAUUCCUUUUUUACUGGUGGUGGAGGUGGAAGAGUGGCUGGAAACCUUCUCUAACUUGAAAAAUAGAUAGUUCAGAUCGUUGAAGUUUGAUGUGGUGUAGACUCCACAACUAAUUUUUAUUUUUAUUUUCCUUCCAAGAACUAUUCGUUGAACUAGCAAGGAAAACAAUUCAAAGCACGACAACCUGAAGAAUGUUAAGGUUCUAUCGUGAAACCAAUUAUUAAUAUGGAGAGUAGCCUAACUACUUAUAAGCAUAAUUUUUUUUUUCCGAUGUGAGAUUCAUACUCUUACCAUGUCCCCUCCUAUGUGGCUAAUUUUCAAGCUAUAAUACAUGAACUACACAAAUUAGGUGAUGCAGAACACAUGUCAUUUUUAGAUUUCACACAUGAGAUAAUCUGUGCUGAUACAAUGACGAAAGUUGAGAUUUCACCAUAAAACAAAUUGUUAAUAUAGGGAGCAGCUCAACUACUUAUAAGUAAUGCAAGGUCCAUUCUUUUCUUGAUGUGAGAUUUAUACUCUAAACAAAAACGUCAUAACCCAACACAAAAUUGUCAUUAAUAAGAAACAACAACAACAACAACAAAGCCUUUUCCCACUAAGUGGGGUCGGCUAUAUGAAU